GUAAGUCCACAGGCCCUGUGUGCUCCCUUUGUCUGCAGCUGUGACAUCAAGGGUCCCUCCAGCCCGGCCUCGCGGCAAAGCUGAGCAGCAAAGGAAGGCAGAGGGGUGGGCCUUGCCGGCUUUGGGCCCAGAGGCUGGAGGCUGGGCUCCCUCUUUCUUCCCUUCCUCCUUUCCUCUUUCCCUCCUUCCUUUCUUCCUUGCUUCUCCCUCCUCCCCUCCCUGCCUCCCUCCUCCCAUCUCUGUCUCCCUCUUCCCCUCCCUGCUUCCCUCCUCCCCACCUUCCCUCCCUCUUCCCCUCCUUCCCUCCCUCUUCCCCUCCUUCCCUCCCUCUUCCCCUCCUUCCCUCCCUCUUCCCCUCCUUCCCUCCCUCCUCAAGCACAACACAUCCACAUCGGCCCCCAGCCCAGCGCAGCUUUAAGAGACCCACUUACCUCAGAGGAACCCAAUCAAUCCCCACAAACACCUCUCUAGAAUAGGAAGAUGGAGAUACAGGACACACAUAUCUCAGAAUGGUGG
rnacentral:lncRNA from 1 species